rnacentral:rRNA from 1 species
GUGGGGAAUAUUGCACAAUUAGGGCUGGAAGCCUGAUGCAGCCUACGCCGCGUGAGGGAUGGACGGCCUUCGGGUUGUAAACUCUUUUAGCAGGGAAGAAGCGAGAGUGACGGUAGGUGCAGCAAAAAGCACCGGCUACUUACGUGCCAGCAGC